UACGAGGGGGGCGAGCGUUGUUCGGAAUUAUUGGGCGUAAAGGGCGCGUAGGCGGUGCGGUAAGUCACCUGUGAAAUCUCCUGGCUCAACUGGGAGCUUGCAGGCGAAACUGCCGUGCUGGAGUGUGGGAGAGGUGCGUGGAAUUCCUGGUGUAGCGGUGAAAUGCGUAGAUAUCAGGAGGAACACCUGUGGCGAAGGCGGCUGCCUGGGCCUGGACUGACGCUGAGGAGCGAAAGCUAGGGGAGCAAACGGG
rnacentral:rRNA from 1 species